rnacentral:rRNA from 1 species
CCUACGGGUGGCAGCAGUGGGGAAUAUUGGACAAUGGGGGCGACCCUGAUCCAGCCAUGCCGCGUGUGUGAAGAAGGCCCUCGGGUUAUAAAGCACUUUCAGUGAGGAAGAACGCCUGGUGGUUAAUACCCAUCAGGAAAGACAUCACUCACAGAAGAAGCACCGGCUAACUCCGUGCCAGCAGCCGCGGUAAUACGGAGGGUGCGAGCGUUAAUCGGAAUUACUGGGCGUAAAGCGCGCGUAGGUGGCUUGAUAAGCCGGUUGUGAAAGCCCCGGGCUCAACCUGGGAACGGCAUCCGGAACUGUCAAGCUAGAGUGCAGGAGAGGAAGGUAGAAUUCCCGGUGUAGCGGUGAAAUGCGUAGAGAUCGGGAGGAAUACCAGUGGCGAAGGCGGCCUUCUGGACUGACACUGACACUGAGGUGCGAAAGCGUGGGUAGCAAACAGGAUUAGAUACCCGUGUAGUC